GAGCUGCUACCCUGCUAUCAUUUUCUGUCAAUUUUUGCUAGCCUGUUUGUUAAGUCAGGCAUCAUUUGGGUUGAUUUGAUAACAGGUUUCAAUCACUGAUAAUAAAACUUUUCUGUGACAGAUGACCCCAGAUCCGUAUCUCCUGCACAGUGUUGGCUGCAAGUAGAAAAUGGGACUGUCACUUUACUUUUUCAGUGUUUUCUGUCUGGUUUAACAGACAAUGUAAAAAUCACAAUAGGAGUGGCUUUAUAUCGUUAAAUUAAAAGCAGGAAAAAGCUGAAUUUUAAAAUGUUGGCCAAUAGUUCUUGCAUAAUUUGUUUCACUGUUUGCUUUAUAGUUUGAUGGAUCCUACUACAGACCAGAAUUUAAAUUAGGCUUUUUUUUUUUUUUUUUUUUUGUUGUUGUAAAGCAAGUAGAGGUGUAUUAUAAAAUGUAAGAGCUGUCAGAAUUCAUGUCUUAAGUAUUUAUUUAAAUUGAUCAGUUCUGCUUAUUGAAAGUUAGGUUGAUCUAGACCCUACUUCAGGGCUUUACGAAAGUAAAGACUAAUAUAAAGACCUAGGAUUGAGAGAAGUUUUUUCAUAUUCACACACAAAUAUUAAACUUUUAUGAUUUCGAGGAGUUAAUGAAAAUUACAGUAUGUUUUGCCUGGCAUUUAACUCCAUAGUGUUUGUUUAAACAAAUUCUGAAGCACUGUACAAAUGCGUACACCAGAGAACACAUGGUGAAAUUGAAUUGUCCAGACUCAAAGAAAUACUGAAAAGGAGUCAUCUGGCAUUAAACACAGAGUAAGUACAAUAUGCAUCAAAAUUUUCUCUUGGUUUCGUUAAAUGUGAAAAUCUUCACAGGCACAAAAGUCUGCUAGUUGCCGUUCAUGACUGUGACUUGUACUUUAAAAAAACCCCCAACCUUUCAGUGUAGUAAAUGAUUACUGUUAAACUAAAGAAAGUGUUUUAAAGCAAUCUCUUGGCUCAUAGCAGUACUUAAUUAGCAUGGCAUAUCUGGUCACUUGGGUGAAAGUCUCACUCUAGGAUACUUUUACAGAAGCUCUAAUGCAGUGCUGGAUGGACCAAACCUUGGAGGGUCUCCUGAGAAAAACCUGUGCUGGUAUUGAAGACAAGUGCAGUCACUCGUAUGGUCCCAGCAGGCUGUUAUCAGACAAUGUUACGAAUCCCUAUGAGGCUGGAAUGUUACAGUAUUCCUGCUUCACAGAUGAAGCACAGAAAGGUUCCCCUUGUCAGUGAAGAUCUAUGGGAAUUUUGUUUACAUUUUGAAGCACACUGCCAAGAAGAGUACUUCAUAUGGCAAGUAUACUGAACCUUUUGGGGGAAUGACAACGCUACAGAAAUGGUGGUGCAUUCCCUAAAGGAAAACAUACUUCAUUUGUUCAAUGAACAUUAUGUCUGCAGAAACUAAUGGCACAACCUCCUAUUCAGUUUAUGUAAAAUAAAACAGGCCCAUAUGUUGCUGCUUUUAGAGUUUGGGUGUUUAAAUUAAAUGUUGUUUAAUGAAUAUUCAAGCCCAUUUGCUCAAAAGUUGUGCUCAGUGUAGCAUCUUUUUCCUCUGUCUUUGAUCUUACCUAGAGUAUUAAGCCAUUACAAGAGGGUGCUAAAGCUAAGGCAUCUGUUUCUAACUAAAACUUGGAUAUUAAAAUGCCAGAGCAGAUGAGAGGGUAAAUAAAGACAUACAGUAAGAGGAUCAUAUUAUUUUUUGUCUUGUAAUUAAGACUGAGAAAGGUUCGAUAUGCAUGACAUCCUUUAAGAAACAGGAACGUUCACAGUGCUAUUGCAGCAGCUGCAGCUUGAGUAUGUUAUAGUGGUAUAUUCACUCCCCAUUUCCUCUAGGAGUUAAUUCAGUUUUUUCAGUAUGUGUGGGCCAGAUGCCUGCGCUGGGAUGCCUCAGCAGACUGCUUUCUAGAGAUGUCUGCAUCUGUGUGGGACUAUAGCCAGCUUCUAGAUUGUCAUGCCUGGGUGUGGGCAGGUUGACCAGAGGCAUUCAGUAAAAGCUGGGAUUCUCAUAUUGCUGGUAACAAGGUUUUAUCUUGUUUUAUCAUCUGUCCCAAGGUGAAAGUCAAGUAGAAAUAUUAGUAGGCUGGAAGAAAUCCUCUGGAGGUUGGAUCUGUUCUAUUGACUGCCCUGGUGAACAGUCUAGACUGUUCAGACCUGAAAAACAUUGGACAAUCUUCAUCGAAGGAGAGAUGAAAGAGGCUGUGAAGAACAAUUGUACAUCAUGGAUCUAGCCCUCAGGACAGGAAUGAUACUGAUGACAACCUGUCGAAAUGCUGAACUUUUGUUGUUUGGAUGAGAGAAGAAUGCAAAUGAGGGAUAAGGAGAAAAUAAAAGCUUUGGGAUGGGCAAGGGGGAUUUUCCAGAGACAGAAUAGCAAACAUUGUCAGAUCACUUGUGAUUACAAGUCAUAUAGUCCUCUACUGUUGUGAGCCAGAAGUGUCUCUACCUCAUUUACGCUCCUUCCCAAAGACAUUAUGAUGUCUGAAAAAAAAUAAAGGUACAGAAGGAAGAUUUGCUUUAUUAAAGUUUUAGAAAAGACUCUUGGAUUUUACUUGCCUACUACCUGCUAGAUGGUGUCUGGUUGUAGACUAAGAAAAUUAAUGCAUUUCCAUGACAUUCUGGGUUUGUAUGUAUGAUAAACUGACAUAAUUUAAAAAAAGAUAAAUUGGUUAAGAGGCAGAACCCCUUCCUGUAGAUGUUCUUACUUGGUUUCAGUUCAUCUUGUACCAAGUUAUCUUAGCUUGAUUAGACAGUUAAAUCAAUGCUGUUUUCUGUUGUAACUGAGACCUUUAGCACUUCAUCUAAUUACUGACAGUAGUAAGGCUGCAGUUGACUACUUUGGGGGGAAUAAGACCUAUUCUAUAUUAUAAUGCCUAGUUUGUGGGAUGUAUUUCCAUGCUUUACUGUAGACAAAGAACCAAUAGGGUGUAAAACCUAUAUUUUCUUUCUAGAAGACAGCCAGUAAUUAUGCAAUUUCUGAAGAAACACAUUCCCAGAGCCUACAC